rnacentral:rRNA from 1 species
UACGUAGGGGGCUAGCGUUGUCCGGAAUCAUUGGGCGUAAAGCGCGUGUAGGCGGUCCGGUAAGUCCGCUGUGAAAGUCGGGGGCUCAACCCUCGAAUGCCGGUGGAUACUGUCGGGCUAGAGUGCGGAAGAGGCGAGUGGAAUUCCUGGUGUAGCGGUGAAAUGCGCAGAUAUCAGGAGGAACACCAAUUGGGAAGGCAGCUCGCUGGGACGUUACUGACGCUGAGACGCGAAAGCGUGGGGAGCAAACAGG